AUUGAACGCUGGCGGCAUGCCUUACACAUGCAAGUCGAACGGCAGCGGACCUUCGGGUGCCGGCGAGUGGCGAACGGGUGAGUAAUAUAUCGGAACGUACCUUUCAGUGGGGGAUAACGUAGCGAAAGUUACGCUAAUACCGCAUAUUCUGUGAGCAGAAAAGCAGGGGAUCGCAAGACCUUGCGCUGAUUGAGCGGCCGAUAUCAGAUUAGCUAGUUGGUGAGGUAAAGGCUCACCAAGGCGACGAUCUGUAGCGGGUCUGAGAGGACGACCCGCCACACUGGAACUGAGACACGGUCCAGACUCCUACGGGAGGCAGCAGUGGGGGAAUUUUUGGACAAUGGGGGCGAACCCCUGAUCCAGCCAUUCCGCGUGAGUGAA
rnacentral:rRNA from 1 species